GACGAACGCUGGCGGCGUGCCUAAUACAUGCAAGUAGAACGCUGAAGGAGGAGCUUGCUCUUCUGGAUGAGUUGCGAACGGGUGAGUAACGCGUAGGUAACCUGCCUGGUAGCGGGGGAUAACUAUUGGAAACGAUAGCUAAUACCGCAUAACAGUAGAUGUUGCAUGACAUUUACUUAAAAGGUGCAAUUGCAUCACUACCAGAUGGACCUGCGUUGUAUUAGCUAGUUGGUGGGGUAACGGCUCACCAAGGCGACGAUACAUAGCCGACCUGAGAGGGGGAUCGGCCACACUGGGACUGAGACACGGCCCAGACUCCUACGGGAGGCAGCAGUAGGGAAUCUUCGGCAAUAGACGGAAGUCUGACCGAGCAACGCCGCGUGAGUGAAGAAGGUUUUCGGAUCGUAAAGCUCUGUUGUAAGAGAAGAACGAGUGUGAGAGUGGAAAGUUCACACUGUGACGGUAUCUUACCAGAAAGGGACGGCUAACUACGUG
rnacentral:rRNA from 1 species